ACGGGUGAGUAACACGUAUCCAACCUGCCGUCUACUCUUGACAGCCUUCUGAAAGGAAGAUUAAUACAAGAUGGCAUCAUGAGUCCGCAUGUUCACAUGAUUAAAGGUAUUCCGGUAGACGAUGGGGAUGCGUUCCAUUAGAUAGUAGGCGGGGUAACGGCCCACCUAGUCUUCGAUGGAUAGGGGUUCUGAGAGGAGGUCCCCCACAUUGGAACUGAGACACGGUCCAA
rnacentral:rRNA from 1 species